rnacentral:rRNA from 1 species
CGCGCAGGCGGUCGUUCAAGUCGAGUGUGAAAGCCCCCGGCUCAACUGGGGAGGGUCACUCGAUACUGAUCGACUCGAAGGCAGAAGAGGGAAGCGGAAUUCCCGGUGUAGUGGUGAAAUGCGUAGAUAUCGGGAGGAACACCAGUGGCGAAGGCGGCUUUCUGGUCUGCUCUUGACGCUGAGGCGCGAAAGCUAGGUAGCAAACG